rnacentral:lncRNA from 1 species
ACACCCUCAACGCAAGCAAGUAAAACCAAUACACCAAACGACACAGAGGAUGAAGACGACACAGGGCAUAGAGCUAAAACCAAAAACAGAGGCAGAGGCAGAGGAAACACUCACAAUCAGACAGGACGAGGAAACCCUAAAUCCAGGACACCUACACCGAUUAAGAAACCUUCAAUCCCAAAAAAAGAACAAAACAACCAAGCACCCAUUUUCAACUCAACUACCACAAAACCGCAGGCACAAAACGAAGAAAUGAACAAACCAAUAGACCCAUCAACACUAUUCACUCCUUUGAAAACAGGACCAACUAACAAGGAAACGGAAAAUAGUCAAACCAAACCCAGCAAGGAUACCGAAGAUAAACUUGAAAAAACUUGGGAAAAGUAUAUUAAGCAACACCCAACACCGGACGCAACAGCUCUUAGACGUCACUUUCAAAAAAUAUAUUCAUUUUUUGAAGAACUUUUCACAAAGCAACACCCUCAAACCACGAAAAUCGAAGAUAAACCAUUAAAUCAGAUCAACAAAGACAUUCAAGAACUCAAAAAACAUCACAGCGAGUCCCAAAAGAAACAGCAGGAAACAAUGAAUGAACUAAAAGAAAUAAAGAAAAUGUUAGAAAAGAGCAAUCAGACUUUUCAACAAUCCUUUAAACAGAUAGAUAAAUCAGUACAGCAAAAUGUAAAGCACAAAGAAGAAUACCCCGCUCUACAAUCAUAUGCGGAUAGACUCAAGAAAAGCCUUCAGUGCAACCAAAUCGCAAACAAAAACGACAAUAUUUUUGAUUUCAAUGUCAACUUGAAAGGAGUAAAAAUAGAAAAAGAGAAGGAAGAGAGCACCAUAAAUUAUAUUAUGGAAAAGUCGAAGAUUUUUAGACAAAACUCGAACAUAGAUCUGAUCAGGCUUAUAAACGGAGGAACAACAAUAAAGAUACGUGGAACCUCAACGGAAAAAGAAAAUCUGAAACAAAAUCUCCAAAAAAUCAUAAAUGAAGUAACACAAGAAGAAGUUGACAUAACAUCAAGAAAAUCAUCCGAAGUCAUGAAAAUUACAGCUCUAAAUGCAAAUUUUUCAGACGAGCAGAUACAUGGUAUGAUAGAGGAAAAUCUGAACAUCCCUCAAUAUAACAGAAACUACAUAAGAGAAAAUGUCAAGAUAUUUAGAAGGAUCACAUCAAGGUUUGAUAGCACCAAGAUGACAGUCUUCAUGAGAGUCACUUCUCCUCUGCUAGAAUCAAUAAAUAGUAAAAAAGAAUUUCUACCAUCGCCAAAUCAUUUUAGAAGAGUUACUAUUACACCAAUCAUUUAUGUUUCAAAUUGUACUAAAUGUUUUGGUUUUCAUGCAUCAGCUAAGUGCGAAGAAAUGAAUCUUUGUAAAAACUGUGGAUCAUCUGAACACAAAAUCUCGGAAUGUAAAGUAACCAAAAACUGUAUAAACUGCAAAAGAGCAAAUAGAGGGAAAGGUACUUUCAACCAUCUACCGACCGAUAAAGAAUGCCCACAGCUUCAACGAGAAUUGGAAAGACAGACAGAAAGAUGCUACAGAGAGGCGAACCCAAGUAUAAUUGAAGAACUCAAGUUUCAAAAUAACAACGCAUUAUUGACACAAAUCAAUAAUCUACAACAUGGAUAACAAAGACAGAGAGAAAAUAAAUGAACACAUAGAUAAUCUUUUUGGGAACGCCCUCUCUAGAGUCGAAAAAGCACUUAGAACUACAUCCAGAACCAGAAAUGAUUCUGCCUCUUCUCACCACCGACCACAGUUGAUCGAUCGCCGAUCGUUUAAUCCACCCGAGACAAAGAAUAGAUUUCUAUCUUUAAUGACCAACAAACG